rnacentral:rRNA from 1 species
AGGGCGAACGCUGGCGGCGUGCUUAACACAUGCAAGUCGAGCGGAAAGGCCCUUCGGGGUACUCGAGCGGCGAACGGGUGAGUAACACGUGGGCAACCUGCCCCUAGCUCUGGGAUAACUCCGGGAAACCGGUGCUAAUACCGGAUAUGACCUCAAUUGGCAUCCUUUGAGGUGGAAAGAUUUAUUGGCUAGGGAUGGGCCCGCGGCCUAUCAGCUUGUUGGUGGGGUAAUGGCCUACCAAGGCGACGACGGGUA